GACGAACGCUGGCGGCGUGCUUAACACAUGCAAGUCGAACGCUGAAGCUUGGUGCUUGCACUGGGUGGAUGAGUGGCGAACGGGUGAGUAAUACGUGAGUAACCUGCCCUUGACUCUGGGAUAAGCCUGGGAAACUGGGUCUAAUACUGGAUAUGACAUGCCACUGCAUGGUGGUGUGUGGAAAGGGUUUUACUGGUUUUGGAUGGGCUCACGGCCUAUCAGCUUGUUGGUGGGGUAAUGGCCUACCAAGGCGACGACGGGUAGCCGGCCUGAGAGGGUGACCGGCCACACUGGGACUGAGACACGGCCCAGACUCCUACGGGAGGCAGCAGUGGGGAAUAUUGCACAAUGGGCGGAAGCCUGAUGCAGCGACGCCGCGUGAGGGAUGACGGCCUUCGGGUUGUAAACCUCUUUCAGCACGGAAGAAGCGAGGGUGACGGUACGUGCAGAAGAAGCGCCGGCUAACUACGUG
rnacentral:rRNA from 1 species